CAUGGCCGCGGGAUUGUGCCAGCAGCCGCGGUAAUACGUAGGGUGCAAGCGUUAAUCGGAAUUACUGGGCGUAAAGCGUGCGCAGGCGGUUUUGUAAGACAGUGGUGAAAUCCCCGGGCUCAACCUGGGAACUGCCAUUGUGACUGCAAGGCUGGAGUGCGGCAGAGGGGAAUGGAAUUCCGGCGUGUAGCAGUGAAAUGCCGUAGAUAUGCGGAGGAACACCGAUGGCGAAGGCAAUCCCCUGGGCCUGCACUGACGCUCAUGCACGAAAGCGUGGGGAGCAAACAGGAUUAGAUAACCCUGGUAGUCCACGCCCUAAACGAUGUCAACUGGUUGUUGGGAAUUAACUUUCUCAGUAACGAAGCUAACGCGUGAAGUUGACCCGCCUGGGGAGUACGGCCGCAAGGUUUAAAACUCAAAGGAAUUGACGGGGACCCGCACAAGCGGUGGAUGAUGUGGUUUAAUUCGAUGCAACGCGAAAAACCUUACCCACCUUUGACAUGGCAGGAACUUACCAGAGAUGGUUUGGUGCUCGAAAGAGAACCUGCACACAGGUGCUGCAUGGCUGUCGUCAGCUCGUGUCGUGAGAUGUUGGGUUAAGUCCCGCAACGAGCGCAACCCUUGCCAUUAGUUGCUACAUUCAGUUGAGCACUCUAAUGGGACUGCCGGUGACAAACCGGAGGAAGGUGGGGAUGACGUCAAGUCCUCAUGGCCCUUAUAGGUGGGGCUACACACGUCAUACAAUGGCUGGUACAAAGGGUUGCCAACCCGCGAGGGGGAGCUAAUCCCAUAAAGCCAGUCGUAGUCCGGAUCGCAGUCUGCAACUCGACUGCGUGAAGUCGGAAUCGCUAGUAAUCGUGGAUCAGAAUGUCACGGUGAAUACGUUCCCGGGUCUUGUACACACCGCCCGUCACACCAUGGGAGCGGGUCUCGCCAGAAGUAGGUAGCCUAACCGCAAGGAGGGCGCUUACCACGGCGGGGUUCGUGACUGGGGUGAAGUCGUAACAAGGUAACCGA
rnacentral:rRNA from 1 species